UUGUCAUAUGUAUCAUAACCUUACAAAAAUGUCCUACUCCUAAAUUUCCCUCAAAAAACUUCCUACUCCUAAACUGAUUCUAAGUCAGAAAGCCCUCCCUCAAAAAAGAAGUCCUUACCAAAAAUUAAAAACUCUCCCCCAACCUAAACCCUCGAUCGCGAAAAAACCUCCAUCACCGAAAACCCACGAAAUACUCCAGCAAUUGAAACCCGGCCUCCAUUAGCAAAAACCUCCACCUACAAAAUACUCAAGAAAUUGAAACCCGACCUCCAUCAACAAAUUGAGGACGAAAUUUCAACGAAAGUUGCAGACACAAUUGGCACCGCACGAAGCCGUCGACGAACCCUUCCAAAACCGUCUUCGGCAGGAGCAAUGUUGUCACUGGUGUUGCGAAAGCAAUCAAGGACCAUUUUAAGAAAUAUCCUCUAGCUAUUGUCAAUGUCAAGGGGAGAGCUAAAGGGACCUCUGUUCAGGAGGUGGUUUUAAAAUUGGAAGAAGAAACAGGCGGAGUUUUGGUAUCCCAGGAGCCAAGCAAAGUUAUUCUUUACAGAGGUUGGGGUGGUGGAGUGGAAACUGGCCAUGCUUCUAAUAAGGAGAAUCAUGAUAAACGAGCUGGUAUACCUUCAUUAGCUGUUGUCUCUCCAGAGAUGUUGGCAGCAAUGAGGCUUGAAUGUGGAUUGUCAAGCAGCUAAACAGAGAAGACAGAGCUUUAGCCUAGGUUUGGUACUUUGGUGUGAUUGUGGUGGCUUAAUCUGGAUUAGCUAUUGUCAAUUACACCAUAUUUUGUACUCUUUUGAAGUGCCUCCUAGACAUCAUUGGUCAAGAAAUUUCUUGCAAGAUUUUGGAGAAAGCAAGGAUUUCUUAUCUAUUCCGUAUGA